ACCCAGCUGACGAGUCCCGAACAGGACGAAACGCGCGUCCUGGGU
rnacentral:hammerhead_ribozyme from 1 species